UUUUUUUAUACAGAACAACAGCGUAGACAUGGAAAGAGAAUGCAUCCUCAAAAAGCACUGUGUGUAUACUUAAAGGAGGACCAUCUACAGCUGUUCAAGGAGUACAAUAAAACGUGCAAAUACUGAGUUCUCUUUCAAGUCUUGUGCUUCAGAGGCCAAAUUCGUACAAAAAUUAUAUCAACAUGACUGUCUUGGAUUGCGACUGGAUGAAUUCUAAAGAAGCCAUAGAGCAGAUGGUAAUGGGGAUCUACAUCGUCCAAUUCAUAGACACCAACCAGGGGAUAAACCUGUGGACGUUGGUAUCCUGAUUGAAGGGACCGAGGUUCUCUGCUCUUUGAAGAACGUAUAGCAGUGGCCAUGCUGUUUGGACUUACUUACGCCUUGAACCUCAGCUACCCACAAGAACUCAAGGCUACAUUUGAGGUCAUCCAGAAAGUGUUCUUUAUCUUGGAUGGACAAAAACUUUCACUAAAGGUACCAGCCCUUAAAAACAAGAUGUUGGAGUAAGUUACCUUACGUGUGUAUUCUCAAAAGACUAAAUCUUGACUCAAGAAGGUAUUAGCUGUGCAUAUACAUUGAAAUAUAAUGUUGUUCAUCUUGGAUGAUAUUUUUUUGUAUUUUUUUACCUGAAAAUUUGCCUUGAAAUAAGAAUAAAGAGAAACUUUUGACAUUCACUUUGAGAACAUUUUAUUUGUGCAGUAAAUUACAUUUUGAUAGACAUGUCAACAAUUAA